AGAGAAGGGAAGACUUAUAUCCCGAGAGUAUAUUGGCUCUCCUGCACCAAUGUAGGGCCAAGAUAGGAGAGGACUGAAAUUUGGAUGCAUGGGUUGGAACUAUCUGAGCAAACAAAGCUGUCAACAUUUCAAAUCCACAACUCUCUUAAAUCUACUGGUUUGCAGAAGUGACAUAUUGUCUCCUCUUAGAAGUUAGAGGCUCUACUUAGCUUGAAAAUCAUACAAAAACCUCAUUGGUGAGGGCAAUACUCACCUCUCACUGCUCCUUAAGACCUACCCUGUCAGUGCUGGCAUUGUGGUAUAACAGGAUAGGCUGCUCCCUGCAAUGCCACCAAAUGGGUGCUGGUUCGAGUCUUGGCUGCUCCACUUUCUACUCAGCCCCCUGAUAAUGUGCCUGGGUAGUAUAUGCAGUGGAAGCAGUGGAAAAUAGCCCAACUCCUUGGGCCUGUGCAGCCACAUAGCCACAUAGGAGACCCAGAUGAAGCUCCUGGCUCUUGGCUUCCACUUGGCCCAGCCUUGGCCAUUAGAGCCGUUUGGGGAGUGAACCAGUAGAUGGAAGAUUCUCUCUCUCUCUCUCUCUCUCUCUCUCCCUCUCUCUCCCUCUCUCUCCCUCUCUCUCUCUCUGUAAUUCUGCCUUUCAAAUAAAUAAAUCUUAAAAAACCUACCCUCUCUUCCUUUCCUGGCAGUCAGACAAAUGACAACAGUCAAAACCCAGAAUAUACUAGAGCUGUGAAGGAAAGAGAGAGAGAUUAAGUACUAGAUGCAGGUUCUAGUUUGUAUGUGUCAGCAGGAGUGGGAAAAGUCUGCAUGAACCAGUAUCUUCAGGGUUCUAUAUUAAGGAAUGGCAGAGCAUAAGUUGGUAAGAGAGAUCUAUUGAUAUAGGAACACUCUCUUGUGACAUGUAAUUAAACACCCUUCAAGGACUCUGCCUACAGUAAUAAUACACUGCUAUGAUGCCUCUUAGAAGCUUGGGUAAUGUGAUGGUCCACAUCAAGUAGGAAUUGAGUUUUUUCUGCCAAAUGUUUUAGGAAAGGAUCAAAAGUCUCAGAGUAUCAAGCAUGCUAGAGUGAGUAACUACAUAAGGCUAAACCUCAUGAGUUGACUCUAUUUUACUGGAAGGCCAAGUGGACCUCGUAUGUACUUAUGAGGUAUGUGCCUGAGAGAGGAGUGGCAGCAACAUUGGGAAGAUCAGUGGUGCCUAAUGUGUGUUAGCCAGGAUUGAUGACUGGAGAUGCUAUUAGAAUGCUGGACUGUUUUACUAUAAUGGAGCUGAUAGAGCUGAUAGACAUAAGGCCAGGUGAUAGAGGCCAGGUGACAGUGUCCAAUAAUCAGGAGCAGGUAUUUAGUUACUACAUGGAGUGUCAAGAUCGAAGUGGAUGCUACAGGGGUCAAACCUUCAGAGAGCUAUAGAGAUGACAGUCGGAGUCUGAUGAUAGCUGUCUUAAUGAUAAGUCUCUAGACCUGAUCCAGGCCUUAGAUCUGCAAGCCACUGACUGAAAGAUAUUAUAUCCAUAUGUAGAAGAAAUAUGCAAUACUGUCUACAACAUUUGUAUUUAGUAGUAACUCCUUCAUUCUUUCCUCUAAAGGUACCUAUGACAGUUUACUUGAAUGCAUUGGGAAAAAUGGAAUACAUAGCCUUUCAAAACUGACAGUGUUGGGGUCUGAAUUCACAUUUAUCUAUGAUCUGUUAUGACUCUCCAUUUGAGUGGGAAUCCUUAGAGGCUGGUAGUAAAGAACACGCUGACCCAGGUCCACUCAUAGUCCCUUCAGUUCACGGUCCUACUGAAUGGCCAUUUUCCUGGUCCCUAAAUGUGUCAUUGGAGUGAACCUACUUUGUAGAAAUAUCCUCAUUCUGGUUUAUUGGCUUGUGCGUAUGAGCUGUUAGAGUUGUAAGUGCCUAGUAGAAACCUCUGAAACUGCCUUCCUACGACCCAUCCUGCAGCAAAAGUUGAUAAACCAAAAUCAACAGUAUAUCCCAGGGAAAAAAGAAGAUAUUACUGAUACACUUAAUGAUAUACAGAAUGGAUAAGUAGUAUGGCCUCUGAUAUUUAAGUUAAUUUAUCUUUCUUCCAUUGGAUGAAUUGACCAUGUUGUAGCCUCUUGCAGCAGCCUCUUAUAGCAGCCUUGUGUAGCAUCUUUGCUGGAGUAAAUUAGUCUGAUGUGCAAUGGCUGAUAAAUACAUUCUUUUCUGGUUAUCAGAAAAGAGUGUUUUUUGCAGUUCCCACUCACUGGAAUAAACAAUGAUAUACAUUUACAGUCUUGCCUCAGGGCUAUGUUAAUUCUCUUACUCUCUAUAUGAAAGAAGCUGAACUUUCUGAACAUUCCUCUUGGCUUUCUAUAUUGACAUCCUGCUGAUUAGCAGGGAAUUAGCAGGAAAUGCAAGUAUGUUAGAGGUCUUGAUAAGACACCCUAGAAUGUGGGAGAUAAAUACUAUGAAUAUUCAGGGAGUAAUUAGAUUAACAAUACUUUUAGGAAUUCAGGGUUCUAGGGUAUUUUGGAGGUAUGUCCUUUGAAUUAAUGACAAAUUGUUUCAUCUUACUCCUCCUUUCAUUAGAAAGAAACAUAGUACAUGAUAUACCUCUUGGGAUUCUGAAAGCUACAUAUUUAACACUCGGGAUAUUUUUCAGACCCAUUUAUUGAAUAAUAAUAUGGGUGGUUGAUUUGAGUAAGGCCUAGAGCAGGAAAGAGCUCUACAGUGGGGCAUGCAAUUUAACAGACUCUACGAUGUCAGUGUUAUCUGUUGUGGGAAAGGAAACUCUGGGGUGUUUAUAGCCAUGUCCAAUAGGAAAAUCACAAUGUAUACUCCCAGAUUUUAGAGUAAGGCUUUGCCACAUAGCAUUCAAAAACUUCUUCUUAGGUGAACAUUUAGCAUAGUUAUUAAGAUACUGUUCCACAUAGGAGUACCUGGGUUUGACUCCUGGCUCCUAAUUCUACCUUCCUGCUAAUGCAGUCUCUGGGAGGCAACAAAAUGACCCAAGUAAUUGGUUCUUGCCACUCACAUGGGAAACCUGGUUUAUGUUCCUGGCUCCUGAUUCAGCCUGGUCCAGUCUUGGCCACUGUGGGCAUUUGAGGAGUCUCUCUCUCUCUCUCUUUCUCUCUCUCUGCCUUUUUAAAAAAAGUACUGCCUCACCUGCUAACACAUUUUGGUAGAGAUGAAGCAGCUGAGCAUAUGAAAUCAAGUGACCGUGUAGCUACUCACUGUAACUUGUUCUGUCAACAUCGUUGUUGAAUCACUAUGUCUCUCACAGCUCUCAUUUAGGGCUGGAUUGGAAUGAGGGAAGCUUAUGACCAAAUGGGAGGAGAAAAGAAUGCUGAGUGUAAUCAUGGGUAUUCUUGUGUUUGUUGAUGCAAACAAAAAUGUUACAGCACUCCAAACACACUUAGGAAUUCCCUGAAAGAUAUGGGAAAUAUAAGAGAAAAAUUCUCCUAAUGGGCAGGAUAGAGAAGUGGUCUGAAGUGAGAAUGUACUUAGACCACUGGACAGUAGUGCAUAGCAAAGUUUGGAAGAUUGUGGACAAAGGAGGUCUUGGAAGAGAACCAUGGGUGGAAUUGUGGGAAUGCUUACAAACUGCAAGGUCUCUGUAUUAAUGCCUAUUUGGUGCACCAACCAUGGGAGAGGCAUUACACAAUCCGGUAAACAGAAUGGCUCAGUCAGUUGACGCUGGUCACUAUCUAGCACAGUAAUGGCAUGGUGAUAAUGUGAAUAGAGAAGUCAUGGUGGCAGGGAUAGGUACUAUUACAAGACUCCCUCUCCUACUUAUCAAGCCUGAUCUAGUCACUAAUGCUACUGAAUGCCAAACAUGCCAGCAACAAAGACUAGGACUGAGAGCCAACAGAAUACUAUUCCUGGAGGAGAACAAUUAGCCUCUUGGUGAAUGGUUGGUUGCUUUGGACUUCUUUUUUAAGAUUUUAUUUGGUCUGCUGGUUCACUCCCAAAUGGCUGCAAUGGCUAGGGCUGGGCCAGGCCGGAGCCAGGAGCUAUGUGGUUCAUCUGGAUCUCCCAUGUGGGUCACCAUUUUCAGCUGCUUUCCCAGGCACAUUAGUAGGGAGAUAGAUUGGAAGUGGAGCAGCCAGGACUUGAACCAGUGCCCAUGUGGGAUUCCAGCAUUGCAGGUGGCAGCUUACCCCAUUAAGCCAUAAUGUCUACCCUUACUUUGGACUUCUUUCACUUCAGAAAAGGAAGCUAUCCAUCUCUACAGUUAUCUAUACACAUUUAAGAUAUGAGUUUGCCUUUCCUGUCCACAGAGCCUAUGCUCAGCGCCACUAUCUGAAGACUUAACAGAAGGUUUGAUUGAUCAACACAGGGUACAGCACAGCAUUACCUUGGACCAAUACACCUGCUCUAUAGCAAAGGAUGUGCAGCACUGUACUCAUGAUUAUUGCUCCACUUGUCUUGUGGCACAUAGAAGUAGCAUGCUUGAUAGAGUGGUGUGAUGGCCUUUUAGUUACAUAAAUGAGGUGCAACUGAGAGAUAAUAUCUUCUGAUGAUAAAGCCUCUAAAAUGUGGAUUACACCAUCAGCUUUAGUCUCUGGGUCCAAAGGUCCUGGGUCCACAAGGAGAAUACUUCCACCAGGGAAAAAUAGGAGCACCACAGACUUGAAAAUGUGGCUUCCAUAUGGUCACCUCAGGCCUCUGCCAAGAGACCAACAGGAAAGGAAUCUCCAUACUGACAGGAGUAAUUGCCUUCAUCAUUAGCAAGAGGCAGGGCCGCUGCUAUGCAGUGGCACAGGAAACAUUACAGCGCUUACACAUCCAGCCUCAACAGUGAGCAGACAUGUCUGCUAGCUGUGGCCCAUCAAUGCAUGGUGACCAGGGAUAACUGUUUGGGUCACUGUACUAGGGGAGCUGGCUAAGUCAGCAACAUUACUAGCUGAGAACAAGGGGAAUCUAGAAUGGGAUGUGGAGGAGGAGGAGGAUGCUCAGCUAUAUAGCUUUGAGGUCGGCUGCUCCAUCAGUGGUUUGGUUCAUUUCCCUACCCCUUCUGAAAGGUCCCUGGGAACAAAAUCAGCCAGAGAAGCUGUUUCCAGAGGGAGAAAACUCAUCUAGCCUUUCCCUACGCCCAGGAUAUUUCAUCCCUGUAGAUGAUGUCUGCUGAGGGCUGACAUCUGUGCCCUUACCAGAUUUACCCUUGACAGCAUGGAACUAUCUAAUUCAAGGUUAUAUUCUCUCCUCAAGGUAUUGUCUGGCUUAUGUGGAAAUGCAAAAUCCUGCCCUAACCCUCAGUUUGGGAUAACUGGAAGGUAUUUCAGCUGCAAAGCUUCCUGUGUAAUAAGCUAAGGCCUCAGUUACUAUGUUAUUGCAGGUACUGCCUCUACCAGUGUUUGGAGUACAGCAGCUUGCAUCAAAGCUGAAUGCCUGUCUAUAGUAUUGAAACAUCUUUAUUCAGCCAGAAAAUUAACCAGACAACAUUCCAGUGUUGAAGGUGAAGACAAGGUAGGAAAAGAGAGUGCCUAACCCUGCAAACCACAGUCUUUUCUCUUACAAUAGCAAGCCGUUGCCUUACGCCAUGAGGGCUAGAGCUCUUAGACGGCAGCCUGCUUGGUCAUUUCUUUUUGUCCCACCCAGAAUCCCGAGUUUAACAGAAAAGUAAAUGUGCUGAAGAAAGAGACAGGAUCAUCUUUCAGAGUUAUGAAGGUAUUUUUUUAAAGGUUGUGAAAAAUGGAGUGAAAAGAUAAGUUUAUGUUGGUGCCAAAAAUUAUUGACAGGCAUGCAGUUCUUUUAUGAUACGCAUUUUCAUGGACUUUUUGAAGAAUCCUCAUAUACAAGGAUUUGAAAGUACCCAAAUAAACUUCCCUUUUAACUCCAUUUUUAUGCAAUUUUUGAAGUUACAUCUAUCAGUGAAGCCCCUAACCCCAAGCUUCGGAUCUUUAUCACACUCUCUGGCCACUACAUUGUCCUGCCUGGAACCCACAUGGACCCAGGUAUAGACUGCUGAUUUGUCACCAGACUGCUAAUGAAUCCUAGUCUUCCAGAGUCUUCUAAAAAUACUAGAUCUGGUCCUUUAAGAACCUGAAUUGGCUCUCUCCAAUCAAGACAAGAGUCUACUUAUUCCGCGGAAGCAGUAAUUCAGUUAUAGUUGUUCUGGUGGCCUAAAAAAGUCAGUGUUGCUUCCAGAGGUGCCUGAUUUACUCCCGGAAUGUGCCUGAUUUAUUCCUGGGAAAAUCUGAUUGGUGCUCUUUUGUACUGUGAAGCUUAGAAACAGGUCACAAAUUGAGAAUUCAGUGCAUGACCUCGGAAUAUGUGUCAAAGAUACAACAUCACUAAAAAUGGAACUACAAAAACCUCCACAGUCCAGAAGUGAUUUUGGGGUACAUUUUUCUUGGUUAGUUUUGUAAGCCUUGAUAUAGGGGACAGAGUUUCUCUAAGUGAGGCUGUAGCAUGCAUAACAAUUCAUUCCCACAAUAUCUAAUGUAACUCAAUUGCUGUGUGACAGUUGCUAAAGAAAGAAUGGGUAGAAAUGACCCACACACCGGAGAGCUCUUUCUUCUGGAGCUCGGCCCCUUCCCCUUCACUCACUUUCUUGCUUUCCAUCUGUCCAGGGAAUAUGUAAAGGCUUGGAGUGCAAUGUGUAUUGUCACUCAAGUGGGGAAUGUGUUCAUGCUCACCUUGAUAGUAGUGAUUAGCAGCACAAAGCAGCGGUGGCAGCUGAAAUGGUUGGCAGUGGUGUCUUCCCCUUGGGACUCUCUAUCCUUCAAGCCCCUAUAUCCCCCACAGUCCUUACUCCUCCAUCCUGUAACCUUGAUUUAAGUAUCUGGGAGCUUUUGUUAGUUAACAGACAGUGGAUUCAGAAUCAGGCAUUGUAGAAAAACAUGGGAAAGAAGUAGAAUGUCAGGUCUCAGUGCUCAGAAUGCCUAAAAUCAAGACUCUGUAUCUUAUAAUCUUCUCUUCCUUUCUUUUUUUAAAGAUUUAUUUAUUAAUUUUUGAGAGCCAGGGUUACAGACAGAAGGAGAGACAGAGAGGUCUUCCAUCUGCUGGUUUACUUCCCAAAUGGUUGCAACAGGCAGAACUGUGCCUAUCUAAAGCCAGGAGCCAGGAGUUUCUGGGUCUCCCAUAUAGGUGCAGGGGCCCACACACUUGGGUCAUUCUCUUGUGCAGAGAGUUGGAUCAGAAGAGGAGCAGCUGGACACAAACAGAUGCCCAUAAGGGAUGCUGGCUUAGCCAGCACUGGUCAUGUUCUGUCUCUUUCCUUUGAAGAUUUUAAACAUGGCCACUCAAUUGACCUCUCUUUUUGAAUCUGCCUUGGGGGACAAUUAGAUGAUCACAUUUUGUAUCUCAUUAGGAAAAUAUGCACAGGCUUAAGAACUUUCAAAAGUGUUAAUUAGUGGCAGCCAUAUUUGGAUCAGGUAGAAUCUCAUACUGCUAUAGACUGAGGCCUAGGACAACAAAGAAUUUUGACCAGACUGGUCAAUGAAGGGAGCUGGUAACUUUUUAUUUUUAAUUUGGAAAACCCCAAAUUAAAUUCUUCUUGCUUUGUCACUAAGCUAUUUGCUGACAAAUUAGAUUUCUUUCUUUCAAAAGAGUUUAUUGAUUUUUUUCAUCUACUUGAAAGGCAAGGUGACAGAGAUAGACACACACACACACACACAGAAAGUAAGAGCACAUGCGUGUGCGAGAGAGCACGCUUCCAUACACUAGUCUGCAAAUCAAGGCUGGGUUAGGUUGAAUCCAGGAGCCUGGAACUCCAUCUGGGUCUCCCAUGCGGGUGGCAGGGUCCCAAGUACUUGAGCCCAUCCACUGCCUCUCAUGAUGCAUUAGCAGAAAGCUAUAUUGGAAGUAGGGUUCUAAGGUCUCAAAGCAUUACUCCAAAAUGGGAUGUGGGUAUCCCAAGUGGAAGCUUAACACACUGUGCCACAAUGCCUGCCCUAACAAAUUGGAUUUCUGAGCUAGAUAGUGCUACAUUUGGGGCAUCCAACAGUGUUUAAAUGUUUAGUGAUCUGGAAUUCCAUGCCAUAGAUCUGCUCCACUACCUGGGAUGCUAGGGUGGUAGGAUCUGGGACAUGUGGGAUCAGGUGUGCUGAGCAGGGCUCUUAGUUGAGGAUGUUUUCUCUGGCCCUUAAACUACCUCAGGAUUACAUAAACCACAAGGUUCCUGUCUCAUGCUCUGUUAACUGGACAAUGUAUAUAUGUGAGCAUUGUCUAUACUUGUCACUAUUUUUUCCCAUGGCUUCUUUGAACUUAGACACCAUCUUUCAGGGAGCAGUGCUUUAUCUAGACUUGCAAAAGAAAUCUUUGCUUUGCCCUAUAUCCUGAGAAAGUCAAGAGAAGAUUCAGAUAACCCUUUGAUUUCUUUAUGGUGCUUGGCAUGUAGUAGUUGCUCAAAAAUGUAUUUGUUGUGGUGAACAUCUGGGGCCUAGCAGUUAAGCUGCCAGCUGAGACACCUGUAUCCCAUAUCCAAGUGCCUGGGUUUGAGCCCCAGCUCUGUGCUGGAUUUCAGCUUCCUGCUAACACACAUUAUGGGAGAUAGUAGGUGAUGGCUCAUGUAAUUAGGAGACCCAGAUUGGGUUCCUGGCAACUGGCUCUGGCCUUGGCUCAAUUCAAAAUCUUGUAGACAGUUGGGGAGUGAACCAGCAGAUGGAAGCUGUCUCCAUCUUUCUCUCUGUUUCUCUGCCUCUCAAAUCAAUAAUAUCAAUAAAUAAUGUAUUUGUUGAUUAAACUAAUCAUUAAUGCUUCAAAUAAAAGCUAGAGAAACAAACUAAUUUUUAUAGCUCUAAGACAGUCUCCCCUCCUUCAAAUGAGCAGAAAAUCAGUCUCCAUUUAUUUUAAUCCUCUGCAACCAUUUUUCUUUUUUACUGACACUUGCUGGUUAGUAACUAUGCUUUGAAUUAGUGAGGAGACGGGUGCAGGGAUGGGUGAGUCCUGCCACAUUUGGGUUUGUUGAAAUAUUGUAAAUGGCUUUGAGUUCAGAAAAACCCAGAGCAUGUUUGGCAAAGCCCUUUCCCCUCAAUGUUUUAAGAGCAUGUGGACUUAGAUGGAAAUUUAAUCUGCAUGUUCAUUUACACGUAACUCAUCAAAACAUUUUAAAUGGCCUUUGAAGUCUGCAGAGCCUUUUCAAUACUUUUUAUGGAAACUUUUCAAGUGUCUUUGGGGUUUUCAUGGGAAGCUGUGUUUGGCUAAGUCCAAACACACUAGAUACUGGACCCCUUUUACACUCCCUUAAUAGUUCAUAUUGAUCUCAAAAUCAUCCUCUAUGUUCUUAUGGAUUUUGUUACUAUGCCAACUAAUGCCUGCAUUUCUUAAUUGAUGUUGUUCAUUAAACUUUAUGGAGAAAAAGAGAAAUAGUUGAAAUUUGCAAAGAACAAAAACAUUGUCAGCCUUGGAUGGAAAAAAGCUGGGCAGAGUCAAACUUUGAUGGUGUGCUCAUGGAGGAUGAAGGUGCCAUGGGCAAUUCAAACUGGCCCAAAUUAUUACCAUUUGGUUUGGGAAUGACUAGUAUCUCUAUUUGUUGAUGAAACUCAGGAUGUCAGAAACAUUUGUUGAGCUUUAGUUAAGUCCAUAAAAUAUUGACAAAUUUGUGGGUAAAGGGUUGCAUGAUCCUAUUUGAAUCACUGGAUAGUCCAGGGUGUAAGGUGGGCGUGCUACUUGCACAAGUUAAUAGGUCAAGUUUCUAAUUUUGGAGAUAGAGGGGAGCCAGUAAGGGUUGGGAAGAGGCAUGCAGAGCCUAAAUUUAGGAAAUGGGCUUUUCUAGGUGGUAGAGAUGUGAGCAUGAUUUUAGGUCAAAGAAAAAGAACCUGCAUAACUAUGGAAUAUAUGAAGAGUUAAGUUUGAGAUGAUAUUUCUCAGGGAAAAAUAGUGGAGACAGGGUAGAAGACUGAGUCAAGAGUAGGUGGAGUACUGAUUAUAGGAAAGAAAGCUCACUUUCUGAGACCAUAAGGAAGGAGAGAAGAGAGCAGAAGAAGGUAGAAUUUUAAAAUGGAUGAGUGAGAGAGUGUGUGUGUGUCUGUGUAAGACAGGAUAGAAUCAGGACUCAUAACAUCAAAUCCCUCCUCACCCAACACUUACCCAUUUCCCCCCAAACAGGUAUCCAUCUCUGACCACAGGUUGCUCCACUAUACUCCAAGCCAUCAGGAACAAGGAUCAUCCACACCCUAACUGCAGAAGGAAUCUAUGCACAUACCUAAAAUAGCCCAGCGCACCUAAGACAUGACCUUCCUGGGAAGGUGGUAGUGAGCAACACUGUGAUUUUGAGUGCAUUCUUUGAAGGGCAGAGAUACAUAGAUAGAAGGGAGGAGGGGAGAGAGAGAGAGAGAGAAUAUCUUCCAACUGCCAGUUCAUUUCCCAAAUGUCAACAAUAGCCCUGGCCAAAGAUAGGAGUCUGGAACUCAGUCUGGGUCUCCCAUGUGAUUGGUAGAGACCCAUGAAUUUGAGCUAUCACUGUUGCUUCUCAGGGUCUGCAUUAGAAAAUAGCUGAGAUCAGGAGCCAAAGCCAAAAUUCAGAUGAGGCACUCCAAUAUAGGGUGUGGGUAUCCCAAGCUGUGUCUUAACCACUGCCCUAAAUGCCCACACAGGCUUUUUAUUCUCCAAUAAUAAAAAGAAUCAAGCUUGGAGAAGAGUAGUAGCAUACUGACUUCCAGGUGAAGGAUCCUAAAUGCAAUUUAUUCAGACUAAGGGGAAAUUAUUGUUACAUAUGGCCAAACUGGGUGGAGGGCAUGGGUUGAUGAAGCUCCCCUGAGCAACCAGAGUGGAGGGUGCCUUAUUAACGGCAUUGUCUUUGUCUUUCACUUAUUUUUCAUCUUCUCACUUUUUGACUUCUAUCCUGAAAAGUGUGAUAGCUCAUGUUUUUCAGCUUUGCCACUUAAGAACUACAUUUCUUCUCUGAGCUCUAAUUUCAAAAUCUUCAGAGGAGAAUUCUGGCAUAACCUGAUUGGAUCCCCAUCAUUGGUGCUAAUGCCGCUGAGCCUGUAAAUGGUUCAAGGUCAAAUACUGGCCCUGAACCCAUCACUAUGUUAGGAUGGCAAGAUUUCUAACACAGUUUUCAGAAAAAAGGGUCAAGUUCUUACCAUGGUCUGUAGGCCUUACACAAUCAGAUGCCCUGGUAGUUUUUUAACUGUAUCCCCAUUCCUGCCACUGUAAAUCUUACUCUUUCUUGACCACAUCCAACAGGCCUCUGGAUCAGAAUCUUUGCCUCUACUGUUCCACAGAAACACUUUCCCAUUAGAUGCCUGCAUGACUCAGUUCCUCACUUCAAACACAGAAAAAUAGCUUCUCAGAGAUCUUCCCUGACCACUCUAUCCAAGACCCAGCCUGCUGUCCUCUACUCUUCAGCCUCUACUGUCUGUUUUUGUCAUCAAGUUUGGAAAAUGUUCUCUCCACAUGUUCUGGAAUUAUUUUAUCUCCCCCAAGAGAAUGUGAGCCCUGUGAAAAUAGAGAUUCUUGUUUGGUUUACUGAUGCAUCUUCAGCCACUUGAAUGGUGUCCGUCUCUUGCCUCAAGGUGGGAUAACUCUGCAGUCAGAUUUAAAUGACAAAGUCCACUCUCCCCAUAAUCAGCCAAAGAUCACAUUCUUGUUUCACUCCACCCCCUGCCUGUCUCGCUCUCUUCCUUACCAAUGAAUUUCCUGAGAAUAGUACCCCAAGUAAUCAUACACAACUGAAACUCUGUCUCAGGAUCUGUUUCUGGGGAAAGUAACCUGAGACAUUCACGUUCAACUUAAUUGCUAUGUGAAUUAUCUACAGCAAAAUUUAAAAUAAGCGGUUCUACUGAGUACAGCAAGGGCAUAACAAAAUAUCCUAAAACAAAUGGUGGAAAUGCAGCCCGUUUGGGCCGUGAGUUUAGAGGUCUGUGAGGGGAGGAAUACGCUGGAAGAGAAGGGUUGUGCUGUUCUGUGUAAUCAAAUUCUUCAGACCAUUCCUCCUGAGCACGAGAGGCUGAAUUGCAGCUUCUGCUGCAGCAUCUAUAUUGGGAGGGAAAGCCCAGGUUUAAUUAAGGCCAAGGAGUGAAGGAAAUGAAUUUUCAAUAAAGAGGUAAAUGAUAGAGGGGAAUUUGUUUGCUUUAGCAGGGGGGCUCAGAUGGAAGAGAAGAAAGUUUGGAAGAUAGGGGGAAGAUAGAGAAGUAGAACAUGGUACAGAGGUGAGGGUUUGAAAAGGUGUCAAAAAAAUAAAAAAAAAAGAAAAGGUGUUAUAUUUUACAUGUAAGGCUUGACAGGGAAGAUAUGGUAUUACUUCAAAUAAUGUUAAGUCUGAGACUAUUUAAGAUCCUUUCUCAUUUGGGAUUGGGCUAGGCUGAGCUGGAACCUCCUAGUGACUGGCUCACAGCUUCAGGAACAGUCUGUACAGGUAGAUUCUGAGGAGCAGUGGGUCCAUAGGACCAGGCAGGAGAACUAAGACAUCUGCAUUCAGGUACGAUCUUAGUGCAUUUUGCCCUACAUGUUUAAUACAGAUGAUAUAGGUGAGUUUUGUGUGACUAGGGCAUUUACAAAGCCUGCAUUCCAUAUUGUAGUACCUGCAUUCUAGCCUGGGCUCCUUUGGAUCCCAACUUCCUGCUAAUGAGCACUCCAGGAGGUUGCAGGUAAUGACUCAAUUAGUUAGGUCUCUGCCUUCCAUGUGGGAGUUUUGACCUGGCCAAGCACUAGCUGUUGUAAGCAUUUAGGGAAUGAACUAGCCAGCAGUUGGGAGAUCUCUGUCCCUGUCUCUCUGUGUUUAAAAACAAACAAACAAACAAAAAAACCCUCCAAACUUUAAAAUAUAGGAUGUGUGUAUACAUAUAUAUGUAUAUAUACAUAUGUAUAUAUAGAGAGAGAACACAGAGGAAUUAAAAUAUUGUUAGCAUUAGUUUAGCUGCACUAAAUUCAGGUAAUUAUCAAGCCUUCCAAUAAUUCUUCACUUAAAAUCUAGGCUUCACCUCAGAAAGCUAACACUAUUUCUGAAAAUUGGGCAGAAUAUUGUAUACAUGUGUUUUUGAGACUAUUUUGUGGGGAGGAUUUCUAACUUUUAUUAAAUUCUUAGGGGCUCCCAGGAUUCCAAAUGAUUUAAAACCAUUGUUCCAACUUCAGCAAAUGAGCAUGCAUUUCUGUUUUUUUUUUUUUUUUUUUUUUAAGAUUUGAUAUUGUUUGCAUCUCUGGAUAGUCAUGAAAUAUUAGUAUCUGUUGGAGUUUUAAGACAGCUGAAUAUGUACAGAUAUAUCCUAUUAUAUAUGUUUUGGAUAUUAUUAAAUUGAUUUGCAUUCUUUCCUAAUGAUGAUGGGUAGAAACAUUCUAUAAUUGGUAGGCUAAUGAGGAAAAGACUCGAUUUUAAAAUUUCUAAAGGAUGAUCCAUAAAGCAGAUAUCUCAAGGGCGUCCCUGAGACAGGAAAUUGGUUAUGUGUGAUAUAUGGAAGGGCAUUCUCAGGAAACUCUUGAAAGAAGGGAGUGAAGCAAGAAGAGUGGGAAGAAAGAGCUAAAGAGGGAUGUGGCCCUUGACCUGAUUGUGAGGCUAAGCAUCAUUGUAGCUAAAAUCACCCUGCAGGGUGUCCCACUUUGAGAUGAAACGGCCAGGUCUAGUAUCACUGUGCCAGUCAUUAGCCACCUGUUGGAGAUAGAGGGUUAAGUACAGGUGUGAUGGUGGUUGUAACCUCCCCAUAGGCCUAUUCAGUCUGGGGCAAGUCUCUAGAGGAUGUAACAGGUGUAACUCUUUAGCUCACCUCUGGCUGCAACUGUAGGAAUGGGGUAACUGCCUGGUAAAGACAGGAAGAGUUCCCAGUGGUAUCCACUUAAACAUUGAAUUUAUAUAUUUCUUUUUAUGUUCAACUAUACAAUAUUCCAGAAAAUUUGGAAGUCAGUUAAUGAUUCAAUAAGUAUUGAGCAUUAAUUAUGUGUAAGAUAUGUUAAACCUAA